rnacentral:piRNA from 1 species
UGUUGCUGUGUCCCUGCUGAGUU